rnacentral:lncRNA from 1 species
UUAGAGUUAAAACGUCAUGUCCAGUUUUCGAAAGCAUGAUACCAGCGUCCCAAAGCAGAUACGAGCGUCCCAAGGCAGAUACCAGCGUCCCAAGGCAGAAAAAAAGCUGUAGAAAAAGUUGUAAAAGAAUUCAAGAACAAACGCACACUGGAAGAAUGUGGCUUCGAUAGAGUUUAAAAAAAAAAGACAUUUAAUAACUCUACGUCCGACCAAGUAUAGACGGACCAUGCUACUAACGCUUUUUAGACGGACCAUGCUAACAACCGUUGCUGAACCCUUAAGUUCAAGAAAGCCAUCUUCCUCUUCAAAUUUUUUAACGGUCUCUGAAAAAGAAUCUAAUCGGGGUCGAGGGGCGAUUUAACUGGGUGAUCGAGCAGUUGGAAGCAACUCUGCUUUGUGGGAGACAAUUUUAUCCAGAGUCGAACGCUGAGGAAAUACAAUAAGACACUUCAGUUCCAUCUAGAAGAAGUUUAUUUUGAUCAGACCCGCACAGACUUUGUAGUGCCCAAGGUCAAAAAUUGACCCUGGGCACCACAAAUUCAGUGCAGGCCUGAUCAAGAGGGUUUAAUAAAUGAAUCUGCAAAAUAAGGUUGACUAAAAAAAAGAGUUUGAUAAAUCGAGUUCUCGCACCAAAAAACGAUUGAUAGCAAAUAUAUCAUUUGAUUCAAAAACGGAAUCCGUCGAAAAAAUAUUUUACUCAAUUAAGGCCUAAUAUCCACAUAAAUACAACGAUUACAUUUGUGGCCACCUUUUUCAAUCGAAUAUUUCCCAUGUGCACUGGAGAUAAAGAACAAGAAUGCAAAAACAAUUUUCGUUAUAAUUCAUGUUCCUUUUAAUACACAGCAACAAAAAUCCGUAACAGCCAAUAUUUGACUUAGUUGAAAGUUAAAAUUCGCUGCAGUACCUUCCGCAAUGGCUUUUUUACAAAAGCAAAAGAAAUGCAAAGAAAAAUUUAUAUAACUCACAGAAUAAGAAAAAAGAAAAUGUAAAAAGAUAAUAAAAAGACAGAUAAAGUAAAACGGAUAAAUAAAAGGAAAGUAUUUAUAUUUGUACUACUUUUUGUAAACAUUACUGUUGUUAGUUUACAUUAUUACAUUGAAUGUUUUGCUUAUUAUACUAAUUUUUUUGUAAGUUUUUAUUUUUUUUAAGUUCUUUUGUUUUGUAAAGUGUUUUUUUUUUUUUUUUUUUUGUUUUAGUUUAUAUUUAUUUAUUUGUCUUGGUGAAUUGGAAACUGGUACUUUGACUGUCUUUUGAGACACAAUACUGAAAAAUUUUGGAAUACAAUACUGAAAAAAUAAACUUUACAAUUAACACAGGGAUUAAAAUUAAAAUAAUUGAGGAUAAAAGGAAUGAAUUUUAAAGAUGCAAAUAAAAUAUCUUUGAAAUAGAGUAGCAAGCAAUAAAAUUUUUUUUUUACUACUUAAACAGAGUUAUUAGUAUUUAAAUUUAUCUUUUACAAGUAUUUCCACAAAUACUUGUAAAAGAUAAAUUUAAAAAUAUUAUUGGAAAACAGUUUUUUUAGAACCCCAAAGCAGAGAGUUUUUCAGUCACAGUUAACUUUUUUUUCAUUUUCGUUUUAGGUACCCCAAGAAGACCUAACGCUCUUGUUACAGAGUACCACGGAAGAGUAUUUAAAUAGGAAGUUCACGCCUCCAUCCUUACCAAUGGCACACAAUAUGCUCAAAGCUCACUUUAAACCCCGGAUCUCUUGCUCCUAAAGCAAGCGCUCUAACUACUGCGCCACGGCCGCUAUUGUUCUUA